rnacentral:rRNA from 1 species
UACGUAGGGUGCGAGCGUUGUCCGGAAUUAUUGGGCGUAAAGAGCUCGUAGGCGGUGUGUCACGUCGGCCGUGAAAACCUGCAGCUUAACUGUGGGCGUGCGGUCGAUACGGGCAUCACUGGAGUUCGGCAGGGGAGACUGGAAUUCCUGGUGUAGCGGUGAAAUUCGUAGAUAUCGGGAGGAACACCGGUGGCGAAGGCGGCGACCUGGGUGGAUACUGACGCUGAGGUGCGAAAGCGUGGGGAGCAAACAGG